CCUUAGUGGGGACAUGACGGAAGACAUCACUAAUUGGAAGUUGGUCUCUUUUCGAACCUCCUUCUUUAUGAUCUGUGCAAUGUAGACCAACUGGUCGUGGUCUUUGACUUGCGGUUAUAAAUACCCUUUGAACCUAGGUUUGAAGGUAACCGCAAAGGUUCUUCUGAACCAACUUUAUGUUUAUUAAACUCUGAACUUAUAACAAAGGGGUUUUGGUCUUAAUUGACCUGCCUUUUUAUUUAAUGUGGUCUUGAUUGACUACUAAAACAACUUUUAGCAAUGGAUCUCUUGGUUCUCGCAUCGAUGAAGAGCGUAGCAAAUUGCGAUAAUUAGUGCGAAUUGCAGACUUUGUGAAUCAUCGAGUUCUUGAACGCACCUUGCACCUAGUGGUUUAUUCUACUAGGUACGGUUGUUUCAGUAUCACAAAACUCAACAACCUAUUCAUUUGUUUGAAUACGUGUUGGAGAUGAGUCUUUUGGUCUUCUCGUUAAGACUAAAUGACUUGAAAUCUAUUUACCAAAAAUCUUGGAUUUGCCAAGAGACUGGAUCGUAAUUGGUUUUAAAUCUGGUCUUGAUAAUUCGAACUUUUGGUAUAAAACAAUCCAAACCAAAACCGUGAUCUGAAAUCAACUGAGACUACCCGCUGAACUUAAGCAUACUAAAGGGGGGGGAGAAAGAAA
rnacentral:rRNA from 1 species